GAUGAACGCUAGCGGCAGGCUUAACACAUGCAAGUCGAGGGGCAGCAGGUCUUCGGAUGCUGGCGACCGGCGCACGGGUGCGUAACGCGUAUGCAACCUACCCUAUACAGGGGGAUAGCCCGAGGAAACUCGGAUUAAUACCCCAUAGAUUAUAUAUACCGCAUGGUAUUGUAUAAUAAAAUUACGAUGGUAUAGGAUGGGCAUGCGUGACAUUAGGUAGUUGGAGAGGUAACGGCUCACCAAGCCUACGAUGUCUAGGGGUCCUGAGAGGGUUACCCCCCACACUGGUACGUGAGACACGGACCGAGACUCCUACGGGAGGGCAGCAGUGAGGAAUAUUGGUCGAAUGGGC
rnacentral:rRNA from 1 species